rnacentral:lncRNA from 1 species
CCUCGAGGGGCGGGGGGGCGGGGGUGUUCGGCGGCGGGUUGUGGUGAGGCUGGGAAGUGGUUUCUUGUUGUCCGUGUCCCUCACGGCUUGGGGAAAGCAGGCAGCUGUUCUGGGAGCAGGAGGGGUGUUUCCUCUGGUUUGGCUGCUAGUUAGUCAUAAAACCACUUCUGUAAAGUGGCUUCCCGCCGUCUGAUCGUAGAACGUCUCGAGCUGGGAGGGGCCCUGUAGAAAGGUCCAGACAAAAGCCUUGCUCCCCUUCGGGGGUGUACUUCAAAAACUGCUCGGAGUUACUGCUCAGGAGCUGCCUCCUUGAAUGCAGUGUAGCAGUUACCAAGUUAAGAACUGUAGACCUUUAAGAAACAAAAUGCAGUCUGAGGGGAAGGGAUGGCAUUCAAGGCUAAAGUAAAAGGGGAAGACCAGCAUGGGAUGUCUUGAUCCCAUGCUGGGCUUGGUAAUUUAAAGGUGAGGCUUUCCUGUUAUAACAUUUGUUUGUGAUAAUAGGGUCAAAAAGGUAUUAUGGGGAGGGAAGGGGGAAAUAGCUAAAGGUGCCCUAUUAGAAAUAAUAAUCUAAAUCCUAAUAUUGAAAUUAUCAUUACUGAACUAAAUACUUAUUUUUCUCUAGGCCCAAAGAAAAAGGUCAGUGGGAAAACCCUACCAAAAAUUACAGAAAAUCUUGAACUCAUUGAGGAGAACCCUUCAUGCAACCAAAGCAAUCAAGUGAAUGUCAGAGAAACAAGAGACUUGGAAAAAGAAGAAGAGGAAUCAGAAGAAAGCAGUGUAUCACUGAAGAAAUCCUCAAUGAUCAGCUUUGAAAGUAAAGAAAGUUUACAAAAUGCAGAAAUGACUUCAAGUACAGGAAUGACUCUUCCCACAGGUGUUUCAACCUUUCUCAUUCAGUGUUUAGAUGGCGAUUCAACUGCAGAUUUUAACAAUACUAGUGACAGCCUGCAGAGUUACUCAUCCCCUGAAACAUUCAGAGAUGAUGAUUCAGAAAGAAGUCAUUUUUACUCUGUGGACCUUGGCAAGUACAAGAACUCUACUCUACUGGACUCCAGCAAAGCAGUGACCAUUGAUAAGAUAGCACAGAUCUCAAAUCUUUCAGCAAUAUUAGAACCUGUACCAAAGGAUUUUCAAGACCAGUGCAUUAGAAGAAAGAGACCAUCAAAUUGCAAUUACAGUUCUUCAGCAUUAGGCAUUUCAGCUACUCUGUCAGGAAAAAAGCUCUGUAAAAUUACAGCUGCAAGAGAGAGAACUCCAGACCUAAAAAGUGGUAUGCGCUGUGCUUCAUCCUUAGGACCGGACAGCAAGCCUGACAAGCAAACUGCUAAACCCAAAAGGGUGAAGCGUAAGGGAACAGGAAACAAUUCUGAUCCAGCAGAAGAAAGUUCAUCAUCAUUCAGGCAGCUUGGUGCCCCAGGAAACACUUCAGCCAAACCAGGGGGGUUGACAGCAGAAGUUGUGCCAACCAAACCAACAGAUGCUGUGGUGCAAAUGACUUCCACUAUGCUGAUGAUUGAGGAAAAUAAAGCUCUAAAAAAUCCUGGUAAUGCUCAGCUUGCACAGCUAAAGCCCCUGUGUGACAGACAAGAAAUCUGCUCCAUUGUUAGACUGUCACCACACCAGAGGCCUUCCAGGCUGCAGCAAGUUCCAGUUAUCAGGAAAGGGUUCUCCCUUCCCAAAGGAGUGCCUGAAGAUAUUAUUACAAGUACCAAAAAUUGGAUCUGCUGUGAACAGAGAUGAGAUUUCUGGGUCUCAGCAGGAGUCAACAGAAGAAAUGACCAUCUUGUUGCUGGAACAGAACUAACAAAUGGCUGGUGUUUUUUUUCUUGUUUGCACAUACGUUGUUUGAAAUUUGGUAUUAUGUGUUCAGUAAGCUUGUAAGUACUUUACUCAAGUACUUAGCAUUAAAUUAUUUUGUACAGCAACUAGAUCCUAUUCUGGGCAUCAUUCUGCAAGGACUUCAUAAAGAUGAUUCUUCAAUUUUGCUUAGAUUUUUAGAAAGCACGACUCAAGAACAGCAGACCAGAUUAAUUAUGGAGUUAUAUUUGGCUCUUGCUCUGCCAGGAUUUCUAGUUUUCUCUAGUAGCAUUAGCAUUUAAAGAUGUGACCUCUGUUUAAGUGUUAAUACAGGUUAUGGGGGUGGGUGUGAAAGCAUUCAUGUACUCUCAGGGACCCAGAAGUCAAUAGUAUGCUGCCAUUAAACUCCCUGAAUGCUUAGAUCUGCAGAACUUUGGAGGUGCAGGACUGUGUGUUCUGCUGUAAAUUGAUUUUUUAACCAUGAAUAUAGGUCAUCAUCACCCUACCAUCACUGUGAUCAGCAUUGUCACCAUUCUGGGCACAUCCACUGCCCAGCCACUGGCACCUCUGAGUCCUUCCUGUUCCAUCUCACCUGUUCUGUAGCAUCCCAUCUCUCAGUCACUGUUUCUUCUACUGCCUUCAGACUUAGAAGCAGCAGAUGCCUUCCAUGAAUACAAGGUGGGAAAAACCCUUUUAUAGCUGAAUUGUGUGAAGAGCUGGAUAUUGGCAUUCUGGAUUUUCAGGUUACUGUUCACACUAUGUCCACAUAAUUUCCACUUCAGCUUGUGGAUUGUUAAUUCUUAAAUGUCAUUCUUAGUGUGCCAAGUGCCUCAGAAAACACUCUCAAGAGCACAGUUUUUUCCAGCUGAAUUCAUUGCAGGUUAAAGUUAUUUGGAUCCCUACAGAGUUCUCACUACAACACCCUGACUCUUUUCUGGACAAAAAGGGAAGUUUUUUGAUGUUUCAAAAUGCCAGUAUGGCUUUCAAAAGUCUGUUUCUCAGUGUUAUCACUCUGGAAAAUAGUUUUGUAUUUCCAAAAAGAGCAUGCCAAGAAAACAUACAAAAUCCACAACUUUAGUUUGACUACGUUUGAAAAUAACCUGUGAAAGUUUGAACCCUGAGCCUUUCCCCAUUGCUCUGGGGCAGAAGGAAGUGCAAAUAAAUGAUGCUGGAUUAGUCUAUGAAGAAGUAUU